rnacentral:rRNA from 1 species
UACGGGGGGGGCAAGCGUUGUUCGGAAUUACUGGGCGUAAAGGCUCGUAGGCGGCCAACUAAGUCAUACGUGAAAUCCCCCGGCUUAACCGGGGAACUGCGUCUGAUACUGGAUGGCUUGAGUUCGGGAGAGGGAUGCGGAAUUCCAGGUGUAGCGGUGAAAUGCGUAGAUAUCUGGAGGAACACCGGUGGCGAAGGCGGCAUCCUGGACCGAUACUGACGCUGAGGAGCGAAAGCCAGGGGAGCGAACGGG